rnacentral:rRNA from 1 species
AGCUCCAAUAGCGUAUAUUAAAGUUGUUGCAGUUAAAAAGCUCGUAGUUGGAUUUCUGGUACGAUGCGCCUGGUCCACUAGGGCAACCUAUGUGAGUGCCGGUGUGCGUCUGCCAUCCUUGUACAGAACGGCUCUACCCUUCAUUGGGUCGGAGUCGCCAUGUACAUCUUUUACUUUGAAAAAAUUAGAGUGUUUAAAGCAGGCUUUCGCCAUGAAUACAUUAGCAUGGAAUAAUAAUUUAGGACUUUGUUUCUAUUUUGUUGGUUUCUAGAAGUGAAGUAAUGAUUGAUAGGGAUAGUUGGGGGUGCUAGUAUUCAUCGGCCAGAGGUGAAAUUCUUGGAUUCGAUGAAGACUAACUAAUGCGAAAGCAUUCACCAAGGAUGUCUUCU